GAUGAACGCUGGCGGCGUGCCUAAUACAUGCAAGUCGAGCGAACGGACGAGAAGCUUGCUUCUCUGAUGAUAGCGGCGGACGGGUGAGUAACACGUGGAUAACCUACUUAUAAUACUUGGAUAACUUCGGGAAACCGGAGCUAAUACCGGCUAAUAUUUUGAACCGCAUGGUUCAAAAGUGAAAGACGGUUUUGCUGUCACUUUUAGAUGGAUCCGCGCUGCAUUAGCUAGUUGGUAAGGUAACGGCUUACCAAGGCAACGAUGCAUAGCGGACCUGAGAGGGUGAUCGGCCACACUGGAACUGAGACACGGUCCAGACUCCUACGGGAGGCAGCAGUAGGGAAUCUUCCGCAAUGGGCGAAAGCCUGACGGAGCAACGCCGCGUGAGUGAUGAAGGUCUUCGGAUCGUAAAACUCUGUUAUUAGGGAAGAACAUAUGUGUAAGUAACUGUGCACAUCUUGACGGUACCUAAUCAGAAAGCCACGGCUAACUACGU
rnacentral:rRNA from 1 species